rnacentral:rRNA from 1 species
AACGAACGCUGGCGGCAUGCCUAACACAUGCAAGUCGAACGAGACCUUCGGGUCUAGUGGCGCACGGGUGCGUAACGCGUGGGAACCUGCCUUUAGGUUCGGAAUAACUCAGAGAAAUUUGAGCUAAUACCGGAUAAUGUCUUCGGACCAAAGAUUUAUCGCCUUUAGAUGGGCCCGCGUUGGAUUAGCUAGUUGGUGGGUAAAGGCCUACCAAGGCGACGAUCCAUAGCUGGUCUGAGAGGAUGAUCAGCCACACUGGGACUGAGACACGGCCCAGACUCCUACGGAGGCAGCAGUGGGGAAUAUUGGACAAUAGGGCGCAAGCCUGAUCCAGCAAUGCCGCGUGAGUGAUGAAGGCC